AAAGUCGUAACAAGGUUUCCGUAGGUGAACCUGCGGAAGGAUCAUUAAUCCAGGCGCGAACCCCCCGACGGUGCGAGCCGAAGGAGGGCUAGCGCCGCCUUUAUACCCACCCUUUGCCUAUGUGUACCCCCAUCGCUUCCUCGGCGGGUCCGCCCGCCGCUAGGAACCAACCAAACCCCUUGCAUUAUACAUGAAAACCUCUGAUACCAACCAAAAUUAUUACAACUUUUAACAAUGGAUCUCUUGGUUCUG
rnacentral:misc_RNA from 1 species